rnacentral:rRNA from 1 species
UACAGAGGGGGCAAGCGUUGUUCGGAAUUACUGGGCGUAAAGGGCGCGUAGGCGGCCUGUUAAGUCGAACGUGAAAUCCCCGGGCUCAACCCGGGAACUGCGUCCGAUACUGGCAGGCUUGAAUCCGGGAGAGGGAUGCGGAAUUCCGAGUGUAGAGGUGAAAUUCGUAGAUAUUCGGAGGAACACCAGUGGCGAAGGCGGCUCACUGGCUCGAUACUGACGCUGAGGUGACGAAAGCGUGGGGAGCAACAGGA